rnacentral:piRNA from 1 species
UGCAUGCAUACAGUAAUUGCUCAAUAAAGAU